CUACGGGUUGCUCCAGUGAGGAAUAUUGCACAAUGGAGGAAACUCUGAUGCAGCAACGCCGCGUGGAGGAUGACGCAUUUCGGUGUGUAAACUCCUUUUAUAUGUCAAGAAAAUGACGGUAGCAUAUGAAUAAGCACCGGCUAACUCCGUGCCAGCAGCCGCGGUAAUACGGAGGGUGCAAGCGUUACUCGGAAUCACGGGGCGUACAGGACGCGUAGGCGGGAUAUCAAGUCAGGUGUGAAAUCCUACAGCUUAACUGUAGAACUGCACUUGAAACUGGUAACCUAGAGUAUGGGAGGGGGAGAUGGAAUUAGUGGUGUAGGGGUAAAAUCCGUAGAUAUCACUAGGAAUACCUAAAGCGAAGGCGAUCUCCUGGAACAUAACUGACGCUAAGGCGUGAAAGCGUGGGGAGCAAACAGGAUUAGAUACCCUCGUAGUC
rnacentral:rRNA from 1 species